CACGAUCGUUUAAACGAUGAUGGUUUAAACGAUCAGUGUCUUUAAACGAUCAUUUAAUUUAUUAUAUACGAUCGUGUAUUGGUGUUAAACGAUCCUUUAGUAUUUAUUAACUUUACACGAUCAUUUAGUAUUCUCUUAUUACAUCUAAAUACUUAAUUAUAUUUUUUUUCCAGAUUAGAAUGUCUAUUCCUAUUGUUGUUUUUUAUGGAGGUCAAUGGAAUGGCUACAAUGUUUAUGAGAAUUACUUAGUGUCUGUAAUUUUGGUAGAUAUGCGAGUCAGCUUUAAUUCUUUGGUUGCUUUGACAUGUGAACAACUUAAUUGGAUGAAUCAGUAGAAUUAUCUGUUUUACUUGAUUUUGGUAAAAGUAAUGUUCAAACUAUGGUGCCGAUAAAGAAGGACAAUGAUGUUACGUUGCUUGGUAUUUAGCUUUUGUUAAAGAUGCAACUAGUAGACAUCCAUUAGUUGUCCAUGUAAGUGUUGAUUGUUUGGAAAUGUCUUCUUCAUCUAGUAGUGUACAGGGGAAUGUUGAUAUGUCACUGAAUAUAGGUUUUUCUUCUGUUUCAAAUGAUGAAGUUAUAAGAGACAUCUCUUAUUAUUCUGAUUUGAAGGAAAAAAUUUUAUUUGAAAGUAAAGAAGUGCUUUCAAAGUAUUUUUGCAUAAUAGCAGAGAAGAACAACUUUCAAUUUAGGACUACAGUAUCGAAUUUAAGGUCUCUUGGAUUUAGAUGUCUGUAAAAAGGCUGCAAAUGGUAUGUAAGGGCAUCUCGUUAUAAGAAGAGUGAUUUGUGGAUGCUACGAAAAUACACUUCUGACCAUAAUUGUUCAUUGAGUACUGCCCAAAGUUCUCACAUGCAAGAUUUUUCAACAGUAAUUGACAAUUGUUUGAUAGAUGAUUUUAGAUUCAUGUCUACUGAUCGUUCCAUUCCUAAAGUGAUUGUGCAUAAGACUCGUACAAAUCUUGGAGUUAAUAUAAGUUACCAGAAAGUUUGGAGGGUAAAAGAACAUAUGGUAAAGAUAUUACACGGUGACACAGUUGAAUCGUAUGCAUUGAUUCCAAGAUUCUUUGAUAAAUUGGUUGAAUCUAACCCAGGUAUGAUCAAUUUUUUAUAUCAAAUUUAAAUUGAUUUGCAGAUAGAUGUGGAUAGACUAAUAUCACAGUUUAUCUAGAUAGACCAAUAUUGACAUCUUUGAUAUUCUUUCUGUUCUUUUUUUGUUUGUGCUGAUAGAAAUAUGUUUUUAAUUAUUAUAAGUACAUGCCUGCUUUAGAAAUGGAUGAUAGUGGUCAUUUCAAGUUUUGUUUUAUGGCUUUUGGUGCAUCAAUUGAGGGGUGGAAACAUUGUAGACCUAUUAUUUCUGUUGAUGGGACAUUUUUGAAGUGUAAGUUUGGUGGCAUCCUAUUAACAGCCUCAUCACAAUAUGGCAUAUUCACAUAGACGAAGGUAUAGAAUGAUGACAUCAAAUUGUGCAAAAGGUGUAAAUUCAGUGUUUAAAGAUCUUAGAGAACUACCUGUGGCAACGAUGUGUCGUUCAAUUAGGGAUGUAUUACAAAAGUGGUUUUAUGAACGAAGUAAAGCUGCUUCUACAAUGAAGAGUCAUUUAACUUCUUGGACUGAGAACAUUCUACGUUUAGAACAUGAAAAGUCGAGAAGAUUAUUGGUUGAUCCAAUAAGUGCAACUGAAUAUCAAGUAAUAGAUGGAAAUCAACAAUUUAUUGUGAAGUUAAACGUGGGAUGUUGUAGUUACCGAGUAUGGGAUGUUGAAGAAAUUUCUUGUGUACAAUGCUCUUGCUGUUCUACGAAUGUUUAAUUUAGAUACCUAUUCUUAUGUAAGUUUUAUUAUAAAGAAACACUAUCAGCAACAUACAAUGGUUGUAUUCAACCUGUUGGAUCUCAUUUUAAUUAGAGAGUUGUAGAUUCUGUCAUGAAAGUAUUGCCUCUAGUCUUUAGACGACAGGCUGGAAGACCAAGAAAACAAAGAAUUCCAUCUGUUGGGGAAUUUAGUAAUUCAACCGGAUGUUCUAAUUGUAAUCGUAAAGGACAUAAUAGUAGGACUUGUAAGCAAGACAGGGUUUGAACAAUUAAUGAAAAUGCGUACUAUCUUUCUUUCA